AACGAACGCUGGCGGCAUGCCUAACACAUGCAAGUCGAACGAGACCUUCGGGUCUAGUGGCGCACGGGUGCGUAACGCGUGGGAAUCUGCCCAAAGGUUCGGAAUAACUCAGGGAAACUUGAGCUAAUACCGGAUAAUGUCGCAAGACCAAAGAUUUAUUGCCUUUGGAUGAGCCCGCGUAGGAUUAGCUAGUUGGUGGGGUAAAAGCCUACCAAGGCGACGAUCCUUAGCUGGCUGAGAGGAUGAUCAGCCACACUGGGACUGAGACACGGCCCAGACUCCUACGGGAGGCAGCAGUGGGGAAUAUUGGACAAUGGGCGAAAGCCUGAUCCAGCAAUGCCGCGUGAGUGAUGAAGGCCUUAGGGUUGUAAAGCUCUUUUACCCGGGAUGAUAAU
rnacentral:rRNA from 1 species